rnacentral:rRNA from 1 species
UACGUAGGGACCAAGCGUUGUUCGGAUUUACUGGGCGUAAAGCGUGCGUAGGUGGUGAGUUAAGUCUGUCGUGAAAGCCCCGGGCUCAACCUGGGAAUGGCGAUGGAUACUGGCUCGCUAGAGUGCGGUAGAGGAGAGUGGAAUUCCCGGUGUAGCAGUGAAAUGCGUAGAGAUCGGGAGGAACAUCAGUUGCGAAGGCGGCUCUCUGGACCAGCACUGACACUGAGGCACGAAAGCGUGGGGAGCAAACAGG